UACGGAGGGUGCAAGCGUUGUUCGGAAUUAUUGGGCGUAAAGCGCACGUAGGCGGCUUGGUAAGUCACAUGUGAAAGCCCUCGGCUCAACUGCGGAAUUGCCCUUGAUACUGCUGGACUUGAGUUCGGGAGAGGGUGGCGGAAUUCCAGGUGUAGGAGUGAAAUCCGUAGAUAUCUGGAGGAACAUCAGUGGCGAAGGCGGCCACCUGGACCGAUACUGACGCUGAGACGCGAAAGCGUGGGGAGCAAACAGG
rnacentral:rRNA from 1 species